CCUACGGGGGGCUGCAGUAGGGAAUAUUGGACAAUGGGCGCAAGCCUGAUCCAGCCAUGCCGCGUGAGUGAAGAAGGCCCUCGGGUUGUAAAGCUCUUUUGUCCGGAAAGAAAAGCAAUCGGUUAAUACCCGGUUGUUCUGACGGUACCGGAAGAAUAAGCACCGGCUAACUUCGUGCCAGCAGCCGCGGUAAUACGAAGGGUGCAAGCGGUACUCGGAGCGUCUGGGGGUGGAGCGUUAGUAGGGAGUUGAAGGCCCUGGGCUCAACCUGGGAAUGGCAUUGGAUACUGGCGGGCUAGAGUGCGGUAGAGGGUAGUGGAAUUCCCGGUGUAGCAGUGAAAUGCGUAGAGAUCGGGAGGAACAUCUGUGGCGAAGGCGACUGCCUGGACCAGCACUGACACUGAGGCACGAAAGCGUGGGGAGCAAACAGGAUUAGAUACCCCGGUAGUC
rnacentral:rRNA from 1 species